UGACACUUAAGUCAGAGCAUUCUGUAGCUGUAUUUUACAGAACUGUAAUUGCACAGAUUGUUCCUCUUACAAGAGAAAUAUCCAGAGCUCUAAGAAAACAACUGAUGAAAACGACAUGCGUGACAUUUGGUGCUGAAGACCCAGGUCAGAGAGACUCCUUUGGGGGACCAGUCCGCUGUCCUUGCCCUCACUCUGUGAGGAGACCCACCUACGACCUCGGGUCCUCAGACCAACCAGCUCAAGGAACAUCUCACCAAUUUCAAAUCGGAAGACGGGAAUGUCAGGCCUCUGAGCCCAAGCCUGCACAUAUACAUCCAGAUGGCCUGAAGCAAGUGAAGAAUCACAAAAGAAGUGAAAAUGGCUGGUUCCUGCCUUAACUGAUGACAUUCCACCAUUGUGAUUUGUUCCUGCCCCACCUUAACUGAGUGAUUAACCUUGUGAAAUUCCUUUCCUGGCUCAGAAGCUCCCCCACUGAGCACCUUGUGACCCCCGCCCCUGCCCAUAAGAGAGCAAACCCCUUUGACUGUAAUUGUCCACUACCCACCCAAAUCCUGUAAAACAGCCCCACCCCUAUCUCCCUUCCCUGACUCUCUUUUUGGACUCAGCCCACCUGCAACCAGGUGAAAUAAACAGCCUUGUUGCUCACACAAAGCCUGUUUGGUCGUCUCUUCACGCGGACGUGCGUGACAAUGGGCUCAAGUCGUCCUCCCACCUCAGCCUCCUGAAUAGCUAGGGACUACAGGCAUGCACCACCAUGCCUGGCUAAUUUUUGUAUUUUUUGUAGAGAAAGAGUUUCACCAUGUUUCCCAGGCUGGUCUUGAACUCUUGAGCUCAAGCGAUCUGUCUGCCUUGGUCUCCCAAAGUGCUGGGAUUACAGGGAUGAGCCACCAUGCCCGGCCUUGAAUAGCCACUUUGGAUCCCCAUUUGAAACUCCCUUCUGUUGGAAUUCCAAAAACUUUUCUGCACAGUCCUCUACCCAAAUGCCCUUGUGUAAUAUACACCUCUGUGUUACAGUCUUGUUGCAGACAAAGUGCAAAUACUAGGGUUCAGGUGAGGCCAUUCCAAAUUAUUUUCAAGGAAUGAGGUUUGCUUCUAAAGAUGCCUGUUUGAGAUGUUUCAGAGCCCACCUUCCUGAAGAUGUAUAUUGGUAUCUGAUACAAUGAACUUUGAUGUAUACUCAUUGAUCCAGUACUUAAAGAUGGACUAUUAUUGAAUGUUCUUGACAAGAGAAAUGACAUUAUAGAAGUCUAGAGUUCACCUAGUAUGCCAACAUGACUAUAGCAGUUGUUAGAAUUUUGACAUACAGCUGACCCUUGAACAAGGCAGGGGUUAGGGGUGCUGAGCCUCAUGUAGUCAAAAAUAUGCAUGUAACUUUUGAUUAUCCCAAAUCUUAAUAGCCUGCUGUUAACCAAAAGUCUCACUGAUAACACA
rnacentral:lncRNA from 1 species